UACAUGUGUGGCAAGCGUUGUUCGGAAUUACUGGGCAUAACGGGUGCGUAGGCGGCUUGAUAAGUCAGUGGUGAAAUCGUCCGGCCCAACCGGACACGUGCCAAUGAUACUGUCGAGCUUGAGUGCGUGAGGGGUGGGGGGAACGAGCAGUGUAGCGGUGAAAUGCGUAGAUAUUGCUCGGAAGGCCAAAGCCGAAGGGACCCCACUGGUACGCAACUGACGCUGAGGCACGAAAGCGUGGGGAGCAAACAGG
rnacentral:rRNA from 1 species